rnacentral:tmRNA from 1 species
GUUCUUCUAAAACCGGCGCGCGGCCCCUAUAUUGGCGAUGUCGGGGUUCGCCCCGACUAUGGAGAUAAACGCGCACGUAAUAAGCGGACUGGACCCGGGUGCGAUUCCCGGCGGCUCCACCAAUCCUUCCUCGGCAGUUGUCGCCGGAAGCAUGGGGCCGAUCAGCAUCGACAGACGUCUAAAGGUGUUGCUUUCUCUCGGCUUGGCCCACCGUUUCGGGCUUUAAACUAAAUGCGAACGACAACUUCGCUGAAGAAGUCCGUCUGGCUGCGUAAGCGGUCCGAUAGAUUUCGACCUAAACUCCUAGUGUCUUAGCAGCGCUAGGCGGGGCCCGGAGGGGGCCUUGCAACAGAACCCCUCCACC